rnacentral:lncRNA from 1 species
AGUACAAGAGAACUGGAGCAUCUCUGGCUCCUUCCAUAAUCGAAGGGCUUCCAGCGUAGGGCGUAGGGGGAGAGGCCCGAAGCCCUGGAGACAGCGCCCGAGGGAUGGAGGCCGCGCUCGGCUGCGCUCAGGUCCGGGUGGCUCCGGGAGCUGAGACCCCGCAGGAUGCAGCGGGGGGGGGCCAGGGCCUGAUCCCCUACCCCUGCGAGCCAGGGCCGCCUACGCCCCCACUGCUUCCCACAGGCUACUAGACGCAACAAUAGAAUUACCAUAUUGUUUUUCCUGGUUUGAAAGGACCAGAUGGAAAGAAACUGGGCAAGCCAAUGAAAGUCUCUGGGGAUCAUGGGAAUUGAGUGUCUAUGAAAACCAUAUUCCAGACAAGAAUAUAGUCUAAGGUUUAUGGGACUCCCCAGUACUCUCCAUGUAGAGUCUAAUGUAGAAUCCAGGAGUGCACAGAAAAGUCACUGGAUGACACAGCAAGAGGCAACAUUUUGGAAGCAGAGGGCAACUCUCACUGGAAACCAAAUCUCCUGGCACCUUGAUCUUGGAUUUUACAGCCUCCAGAACUGAUAGCUGGGAGGCAUUACAUAGUCAUGUGCGAGGUCAAAACUGAGUCACCACCACAACCAAGUUCCAGCUGGCAAGAAGAGGAAAAAUAACACAGAGGAGUUAUGACCAGUGUUGUAAGGAUCUGGCCUAGAAAUGGCAUGCAUCUCUUCCACUAAUAUCCUAUUGGUAAAAAUGUAGUCACAUGGGCACACCACCUAUCUGCAUGGAAGGCUGGGAAAUGUUGAUCGGUAGGGCAGCCAUAUGUGUAGGAAGGAGAAAACAGAAUUUGGUGGAUACCUAGUAGUCUCUGCCAUACCCUUGACCAGAAAUUUUUCUUCUAAAGAAUUUAAUUCUAAAAGUUAUAGACAUUCCCAAAGAUAUACCUGCAAGCAUCACAGCUUUGUGUAUAAUUGCAAAAGUUGAAAUCAACAUGAAUGCCCAAAAUAGUGAAUUAUUUAAACAGAUUAUUACCCAUAUUAUGAAGAAAUACUCUGCAACUCUUAAAAAUAAAUGUAAUGUGCCAGGCGCAAUGGGAUAUGCCUGCAGGCCCAGCUACACGGGAGGCCAAGGCAGGAGGAUCACUUGAAAUCAAGAGUUCAAGUCUAGCCUAGACAACAUAGUGAGACUUGGUCUCUAAAAAAGAAAAAAAAAAAUAAAACUGAUGUAAUGAAUAUAUAAUUACAACAAAAGAGGUCUAACACUAUAGUAGAAAAGUUUGGGGCACUCAUCCCAUUCAUAAUUAUUUUACAUUUAAAUUACUGUUCCUACUUAAGUGGUGAGCUUGGUAACCAUUUUCAUAUCAGGUGAUACUGCUGCAGUAAUCAUAGCUGUUUGAAUCAGGAAUAAUCCCAAUCACAUUUUCUCUUAAUCGUUUAUUAUACUGGGCAUUGGGGUUGCAAGAUAAUGCACAGUCCGAGCUCAAUACAUGUCUUCAUGUACCUGUAUGUAAAUCCCACUUUUAUUCUAAAAUUCUUUGAAUAUUUUGUUUCUUGGAACCCAAUGAUCCUAAGAAAAUUAUGUACUUUUACCUGAAAAUUAAAACCAAUAUUUAUAAAAAGUGUAUAUGCAGUAUGAUACCACUUUUAAAAAAAGAUAAAUUUAUAGAAAAAAGUUUAUAUGACUGACAACAAUGUCUCUGAGUGGUAGGAUUACAGUUAAUUUUUAUUUUCUUCAUUCUACUUAUCUUUAUUUUCUGAACUUUCUACAAUGAACAUGUUUUAUUUUUACUUUUGUUAAAAUAAAUAACAUUUAAUUUGACGGAAAAUUCUAAAAAUCAACAUUUGGUAACUUAAAUAUUCAUUGGCACAUGAUUCUGUGCCUGUUUCUGGGGGUCAUUCCCAUGAGAAGAGCAGGUAGAACUUAUGAGAAUAGAGCAGUCGAAAUAUUAUAGGUUUCAUAUUUUACGGCUUUAUUGAAAACAUUGAUAUAUUGAAUAUUCAUAAAUUUUAAUUUAACUUUCUUUUAUAAUCCUUAAUGUGAGGCUAAGGUAUAAGGAGAAAGGAGAUUGGUAAGGAAGUGUGAUACAUAUUGAAUCAGGUGUCAAGGUACCAUUUGUGCCUGGAUCUGACCAAUAGACCAAGGUAAAAAUCUCAAAGAAUGAGACUUGUAAUGAGAAUGCCACAAACUUGAAUACCUUAUGCACAAAACACAAACAUUGUUAUGCAUAAUGUACAUGAACCCUGAAACAAAGAUAAUGAUUUGGACCACCCAACUGAAGUGGCAUGUUAUGUUUUUGGCAUGAACAAAAGAAACAAGAGAGAAAAAAAUCAAAAUAAUUAAAAUAAAUUGUUAGAGAAAAGUUACUUUAAAAAUAGCUAUAACGCUUUGCAAUUUCAGUAACAGUUCUGCCUCUGAUGCAAUGUAAAACAUGUAUUAGACAUUCAGGCUCCACAAUAAAUUUUAAUGAGCACUACAAAUUUAGAAUAUAUAAAAAUAUCAGUAACCUAUGAAUUCAUCAACAUAACUCACUUUUCAGUUAAGUUAGGCUGAGUUGAAAUUCUACUAAGUUUUCCCAUAUUCUUGAUAAAGGCUAAAUUUGAAAUAAUUUAUUUAGAUGACUAAUUGGCAAUUUGAUAGUAGUUACAUUUUAUGUAACACUUGAUAUAAUAACCCAAAUUAAUUAGCUCAAUAUUAUCUUCUGUGGUUUAUUGAUCCAAAAGUACAUAUUUGUUAUGUAAACUUAUACUAUGUAAACUUGAAUUAGUUUUUUGCUUCCUUGAAUUAAUAAAGCCCAUUAAUGCAAAUCUAAGCCUUCAUAGACUUUUCCAAUCCUUAGUUAAAUAUUAAAAACUGAGUAUUGUAGUUAUUUGCUAGGUAUAAAAGGUGACUCAGAGUAGAGAGUAAGAUGUCAGCAAAUAGACAAUAAGAUGUCAGCAAAAGUGCCUCAAAUUUUAACUGCGUCAAGUUAAGGGCAUUGUAAAUACUGUAGUUUUAUGUAGCUUGCAACUUCUACUGAAAUGAGUUUAAUCAUGUCUUUCACAUAGCUGAAGUUUGUGUCAAGAUUUAAGCUGAUUUUCUCAUUCUUAUCAAAGUCUCACCUGGGGGUAGGGAGGGGUAGGCCUACCUCCCACCUCUAUACUAUCAUUUUAGGAACAGACAGGCAUAAAUCUGUUCAUAUGGUAGAACACAUGAUGUUAGAGUAUAUUUUGUUGAAUGCUAUGGAAUAUUAAUAUAAUUAAUUCUAAAAUAUCACCUAAAAUAUGUCAACUGAAGAUCUGACUGUACUAAAUAUGAAAAAUAAAGCAGCACAUACUUUC